rnacentral:lncRNA from 1 species
CUUCUCACCUGCUUUUUCUCUUCCUUCACACAGUCUCCCUGAGGAGUCCUGCCAGGCUACCUCCUCGGUAUUUUGCUCCCAACUCAAAUGUCACCUUCUUCUGGAAAAAGCAGCGACCUCUGUCACAUUAUCUGGCUUUAUUGUUUUUUUUUUUUUUAAUACACUUAACCAGUGUUGGAAGUUAUUUCGUGUUCUUGUUUAUCAUCUUCUCCCCUGACCAGAAUAUAAGCUCCAUGAGUAUAGGGACCAUGUCUGUCUUGCUCAAGGUUCUGUCACCACAGCUGGACCAGUGCUGGGCACCCAGGGGAAACCCAGGAGACACUUAUUGCCUGAGGGAACUGACCCCUGGGCUGAACAGGUAUGUCGCCAGCUCUAAGGUGGCACGUUGUGACAGGUGACCCAGGACUGAGCAGUUUGGGAGAAGGAGUUCUCCUGGGGGGAUCUGGGGAAACCUUGAAGAAGAGGAAGGAUUUGAAUUGUGACAAGAACAGGUACCACUUCUUGAGGAAAUUGACAGUGCUUUUGUGGGCACAGGAAGGUGGAUGAACAAGGACUUGGAGGAGGGAAGGCUAGGGUUUGGGACAGCUGGUGUAUAAGAUCUAGAUGUGGAGGGGCGUCUUGGUGGCUCAGUCGGUUAAGCAUCCAACUUUGGCUCAGGUCAUGAUUUCACGGUUGGUGAGUCUGAGCCCUCCAUUGGGCUCGGGGCUGACAGUGUGGAGCCUGCUUGGGAUUCUCUCUCUCUCUCUCUCUCUCUCUCUCUCUCUCUCUCCCCCCCCCCCCGCCUCUUCCCCAUGUGUGCAUGCAUGCAUGUGCUCUCUCUCUCUCAAAAUAAAUAAACUUAAAAAAAAAAAAGUUCUAGCUGUGGAAUGCUAGGGACAUGGGAGAUUAAGUUGGAAAAGUAGAUUGUGGCUAUGCUCUGAGGGCAUCUUGUUAUGGACUGAAUUGUGCCCCUGCCCCCCAGGAUUCAUAUGUUGAAGUCCUAACCCUUCUAUAACCUCCAGAUGUGACUAUUUGGAGAUAGGGUCUUUAAAGAGGGAAUCAAGGUUAAAGAGAGGUUAUAUGGGUGGGCCCUCAUCCAAUAUGACGGGUGUCCUUACACAGGGGGAAAGCCACCAGGGCUGCACGUACAAUGAGAACAUUCCCAGCAAGGGAAUGGCCAUCUGUAAGCCAAGGAUCAAGACCUCAGAAGACCUCGGAAGACCCAGCCCUGCACACACCUUCUUCUGGGACUUUCAGCCCCCAGGACGGUCAGUUUCUGUUGUUUAAGCCUCUGUUCUGUCAUCUUUUGUUUGGGCAGCCCUAGCAAAUGACUAUAGGUCUUAAGCUUUCUAUAUUUUAAUUUUAUCUCUUUUUUUUUUUUUUU